GGUAGUAUAAUUUUGUUCAGUUAAUUUCAAAGUGAAAUUAAGCAUAUCGUGCGCAGACGCUUUCGCUGAAACAAUGUGGGUAGCCAACGUUAUAUCAACAUGAAAAAUGAAUUUUUAAUUAUUCUUUUAUAUUUAUACCUAGCAUUAUCGGAGAACAAUAUUACGAAUACUAAUUCAAAUAAAACUAAAGAGUUAGGUUAUGAAGAGGACGUUUCAAAGAAUUACUUAAAUAAUGAAAUACAAGAAGUAUGGCGGAAAUAUUUAAUUGAAUCAGAAGAAUAUAUGCGGGCCAAAACAAAAACGACGACCAACCGACCUGUAACGCUACCCAUGUCAUCAUCUACUGGAAGCUCUUCCAAUAUAAUUCUAAAAGAUUUACCUUCAAUAAAAAGUACUACAAAAUUGGUAAAUGUAACUAAAAUA